rnacentral:rRNA from 1 species
AUGGCGGUGGUGAGGAUGGGGCCCAAGGAGCACGGUCGGGAGGCGGUUCUCGAUGCUAUGAUCACUCCUAGUAUCUCCUACACACAGCUUCGUCGGAUCGACCCGAGCCCGAGCCAGCGCACGAGCCAGCCAGUGACUAGUACACAGUACCUCUUUCAGGAGCAACAAUCUGCCUACAUGGAGUACACACGCCAGGAGACCAUGGCGUGGCAUCAGAGGCUUUAUGAACACCAAGUGCAGAGGGAUAGCCAGAUGCAGCAGGCUUUUCAGGAUAUGGUGGCCGGCAGGUGUCCUCAGUUCCCUCCAGCACAAUGCCCUCCAGCACAACCAGUGCUGAUGAGCUUUGAGGAGUUUGUGGCACAGAACGCAGGCCCCUCGCCGGGAACAGGUGGAUCUACCGUUGGCGGUGGUCUUCGCAGCACUCCAGAGACACGAAGCCCGACCACUCCGAUCCACGGAGGCGGAGGCGGAGGAGGAGGCGGUCUUGGCGGUAGCGCUGCCGCUAGCAGUGACGACCUGGGCUUCGGCGGUCUUGGCGGUGACGACCUCCGUGGUGCUCGACGUCCUGGCGCUUAA